rnacentral:rRNA from 1 species
UACGAAGGGGGCUAGCGUUGCUCGGAAUUACUGGGCGUAAAGCGCACGUAGGCGGUCUUUUAAGUCGGGGGUGAAAUCCUGGAGCUCAACUCCAGAACUGCCUUCGAUACUGGAAGACUCGAGUCCGGGAGAGGUAAGUGGAAUUCCGAGUGUAGAGGUGAAAUUCGUAGAUAUUCGGAAGAACACCGGUGGCGAAGGCGGCCAACUGGACCAUUACUGACGCUGAGGCGCGAAAGCGUGGGGAGCAAACAGG